GAAAAUUCUGCUCAUAUCUCCACCAUAGAAGUCGAUGGAGAAUACAUUUAAUGGUUAAACUGAAUGGUGCUCUCGCAAAUGUAAGUUUUUCUUUGUCCUCAGAAGCUUUCUAUUUUUGUUUACUUCCCUUUGCUUUCCCUUUUUUAAGAUCUUGUUGAGUAGUAUGGAGUGUCUAUUGCCACUAUGAAGUCGAGAAAUCAUCUUCAGCUCGAGAUAAAUUGAAUUUUAGAUGACCACAAAAAACAAAGGUGAUAAAAAAAAUUAUAUUCGUGUGGGAACAUGUAAAACGAAAUCUAGUAUAUAUAGGAAUUAAAAUAACUUGCUCCACAAAAUCUUGUUCUUUCCGUUUUCAGUGAGUUUAGAGUUAUGCACAUGUCCACUAUUGAAUUCAAAGCUUUAAUAGAAUUCAAAGGUGUACAAUACACAAGGUUUGUUUCCGAUCUAUCAAAAAUAUAUAAAAGCUUGCCUGCCAAUAAAUUUAACACCUAAAAGCAUCAGCACUAUUCAGGUUUUUAUUAAUGAUUAUUGUAUAUCAACUGAGCAAAUUUCUUUCUUUGUCAGGAUUCUGGUAACAUUAUAUGUAAGCUAUUACCGCUCUAGAUCAGUUUGUAAAAGGAAAGCUCUGCUGCAAUUCUCUAUUGAAUAGGCCGUUGCUUGAAUGUGGUCUGACAGCAAAGUGUAAGUGAAUAAAGAUAGUUUCGCAGUUUUGUCGCUGACUGUAAACGUUAAGUUUAUGCUUUGAACUGUCUAUACAUAAAUAUAUGUGAUCAUCGGAAUGAUGUAUAUCUUUGAUAUUAAUGACAUUUAAUAUUCUUUUCAGAAUAUAAAUUAUGUCGUGCUCAUCAUCAAGUGCGUAGCUUUAUAUUUAUGCUCCUAAAUUUUAGAAAAGAUAAUCACGGAUAAUGAUCAUAAGUAUUAAAAAAUAAGUGAACUUCCAGCCAGAAUUAGAUGUGUUAGACUUGCGGCUAAUUGUUGUGCGUUAUAUAAUUCUUGGAUGCCAGGUAUUGGAUUGGUUUCUCAUUGCUUAUUGACUUAUACUCUUAUCACGUUUUAAUUUUACAUCUUGUGAAAGACAUCAUAUGUAGCUUGUGUAACCAUGUUUAAUCGAAAGUAUUUAGUACUUGUAAGCAUCAACCAUCCCAUGUCAAGAAUGAAACUUUUCUUAAUAGUAGAACGAAGAUCUGUUGACACUAUAUAAAAAACUUUUUAUGUGAAUCUAUGCAGGAUACGUUGUAUUUGCACUAUCCUUCAAUGUUUGCACAUAUUUAAUUGUGCCACAACAUGACCAUGGAUGACUAUGAUUUGUCAGUUGAUUGCUAAAUUGAAUAUUAGGUGAGUUUUCUAUUGAAGCAUAUAGAUUUCCUUACAAAUAUUUAUGUAGGUUGGGGAUAUUCUUGAAAGCAUAAGAAGAAAGAAUAUGCAUCAAUCAUCCAUGGAAAUGUAUACUUACGAGGAGACAAUGGCCAUCACCACAUCUGUUUGUUGGGACAUAAAAAGAGCAUCCCUAAGGUAUGGAGAAACUCUUGCAAGAUUCUGUUACAUCAGUAUGAAUAUUGAUCCUGACAUUUUUUUUCUGUUUCUUGUGUCUCUGGAGUUCUCUCAUUAAAUAGGAAAAGAUUUUAGUGUCAGUACUUCUCUAUCUGAAUCCAUAGUUAGAAGUACAGGUAUAUGGGAAUUGAUGUCAUUCAUACUUGGGAACAAUUGAAAUUAAUCAUGAGGGAAAAGUAUAUCAUCCAGCAGUACAAGCUGUUCAAAAUAUGAUGCUGUCAUACUUACUACUCUUUGUUGCAAUUUACUGUCCAGAUAACUUAACAGUUAAUUUCGUGGAAUUCUACUUUGCUUGCCUAUUAGCUUGAUUUGGUCGUUGAUCAAUUGUUGUUGUAGGAGUUGUUCGAUCUUGUCUUAGUUGUUCUUAGACUUCUGUCAACAAAAAUCAUGAAUGGUCAGAAAAAUGCAAUCGAUUUGCAUCAGAGAUGAAUCUAAGGCUAGUAAACGAAUAGACGUGUCAUGAUGUAUUAUGACUAUGCUAGAGGGUGAACAAUUGAGAAGCCUUCGGUUCUUGAUUAAUUGAGAUGAAUUGGCGGCUUGGCUCCCUUCACAUUGCUUUGUUCCUCUAGCUUCUUCAGCAUAAAAAAUUGCUUGUGAGCCUUUUAUGAUAUACUGAAUUUGACACUUCUUCACUUGGCAGUAGGCUUAGAAAUCACUUUUUGUAGUCAAAUAGAACCAGAACCUUUCAUUACUUGUCUAGAGUAUUCAUUCAUGUGCAGCUGUAAGUAUAAACAGUGUGUGGUCUGUAAUUGUAACAAGGGGCUUGGCUUAGAGUUCUUAAAUUUCUUUUUAAUUGCUUUCAGUAUGGAGGUUGUGAUUUCCAAGUCAUGCAGCCGUCGACUAUGGCUUCCUUGAGAUGAAGCAUGACUUGCUGCAAAUGGGACGUACAGCUUUGAUGGAACCCAAAGGUACAUGAUAAAUAAGUUGUUUAAGUAGCACACAAGAGAGAUAUUGACAUUAUGGUCAUAGAUUAUAAGGAAAGAUAUUACUUUUUCAUUGUUAGGAUUUUGACAAGGCUCAGUGCUCAUUUGGGAAGUGAAAAGUUUCGAAGGUCUCUCUGUUCAAGUCGAGAAGUGAAAGCUGUUGAACUAUGUAUGUAAUAGCUUGUAUUGUUGACUUUGGUCCCUAGGCUCCCUUGGGUCUAAUGUCACUUCUUUUUACACCAACAACCAGUAUCUUUCUUGCGUUUUGUUUUGUCGAUGUGGUAUAUGCCUAGGAUGCUACAAUAAUGGUGUUCUUUUUACUCUGGAUACCAAGACAAAAAGCAAAAGACGACACAAUUAUUGGACUUUCUGUAUUGAGAAAUUGAAAUUUCUGGACACAAAUGGUUAGAGAAAACUGUAAAUGCAAUGUAAAAUGUAUAAGAAACAGGGGAGACUUUGAGGAUUUGUGAAUUGUUAUAGCUCUUAGCUCAGUUGAUAAAAGGAAAUUUUUUCUGCAAUUUUCUGCUGAAUAGACAGUCACUUGAAUGUGGUUGUGACUAAGAUAGCUCUUAGCUCAGUUGGUAUAAGUGAAUAAAGACUAGCAUUUUUAUCGCUGAGUGUAAGUGCUGUUUUGUUAUCGCUGAGUGUAAGUGCAAAAUGACUAGUCACUUAUCAGGAUUUCUGAAACAAUACAGCAUCCAAUUGUUGUCUCAGUUAGAUUGCUCGUUUUGUUACAAAUGUAACCGUAGGUUUUUCCAAAAUGAUAGCAAAAGCUUGAGUCCCAUUUCAGCAGUCAUGUGAUGCUAAUUUCUUCGGUUGUUUUGCAUUUCCGUCUUUUCUUUUAACCUAAGCCUGGGAUGAUUAUUAACCUUCUCAUCUGGAAUUUCAUAAGCAUAAAAAGAUAUAUGGAAAUCUGGCUCGGCAAGAUCAGUUUGACAUCCAAGACAGUGAAGAGCUUAACAGAAUGAAGGAAGAAAAUGCCAAUCUACAAGAAAAGCUGAAUGAUGCAGGUAUACAUUCUUAAUUGAGAUUCCAGACGGUGCAAAAUUGUAAAAUAUAAAAAAUUGCUUGUGAGCCAUAUAUAAUAUAUUGAAUUUUAAACUUCUUCACUUGCAGUAAUCACUUUCUUAGUCAAAUAAAACGAUGGUAUUUCAUUACUUGUCUAGAGGAAUCAUACAUGUACAACUAUAUAUAUAGAGACGUGUGUGCUGGUCUGUAAUUGCAAUAUGUGGAUUGGCCAAGAGUUCUAAAACUUCUUUUUAAUUGGUUUUGGUAAGGAGGUUGUGAUUUCCAAGUCGUACAGCUGUCUACUGUGCCUUCCUUGAGAUGAAGCAUGACUUGCUGCAAAUGGAACAUCAAGCUCUAAUGUACCCAAACGCCGGAUGUGGACAAGACCAUGGUUGUUUACGCUUCAACUCAGUUUCCUGAGUAUACGCAUAGUGUGAUUGCUCGUUGUCUUGGUGUUCCUGAGCAUAAUAUCUGUGUGAUAACAAGAAGGCCUUCGGUGGCUAGGCAGUAAGAAAUAUGCCAGUGAGUACCUAUUAACAGAAGAAAAGUUUUGAAACAUUUGCAAGGCUCAACACUUUUUUUUGUAAGGUCCCUUUG
rnacentral:lncRNA from 1 species